rnacentral:rRNA from 1 species
CCUACGGGUGGCUGCAGUCGAGGAUCUUCGUCAAUGGGCGAAAGCCUGAACGAGUGACGCCGCGUGCGGGAUGAAGGCCCUUGGGUUGUAAACCGCUGUCAGGGGGGAUGAAACCGUAAGGUUGACAGAGCCCCAGAGGAAGCACGGGCUAAGUUCGUGCCAGCAGCCGCGGUAAUACGAACUGUGCGAACGUUACUCGGAAUCACUGGGCUUACAGGGUGCGUAGGUGGCUUGUUAAGCAGGGUGUGAAAUCCCUCGGCUCAACCGAGGAACUGCGCUCUGAACUGGCGAGCUGGAGUAUGCUAGAGGUGAAUGGAACAUCCAGUGGAGCGGUGAAAUGUGUUGAUAUUGGAUGGAACACCAGAGGCGAAGGCGAUUCACUGGGGCAUAACUGACACUGAGGCACGAAAGCCAGGGGAGCAAACGGGAUUAGAUACCCU